rnacentral:rRNA from 1 species
CACACAGUAAGGCGUGAAAGUCGCGUACACGUAAAGAGUCAUAUUAUAUUGGGUAUCCUGAGUAGGGCGGGACACGAAGAAUCCUGUCUGAAUCCACGGGGACCAUCCCGUAAGGCUAAAUACAACCGGAAGACCGAUAGCGAACCAGUACUGUGAAGGAAAGGUGAAAAGUACCCCGAACAGGGGGGUGAAAAAGAACCUGAAACCGUACGCCUACAAGCGGUCGGAGCGGAGACAAGAUCCGUGACGGCGUGCCUUUUGCAUAAUGAGCCUACGAGUUACUGUUGUUAGCGAGGUUAAGUACUUCAGGUACGGAGCCGAAGCGAAAGCGAGUCUGAACAGGGCGCUUAAGUUAGCAGUAGUAGACGCGAAACCUAGUGAUCUACCCUUGGCCAGGUUGAAGUAUCCGUAAAAGGAUAUGGAGGACCGAACCAGUAUCCGUUGAAAAGGAUUUGGAUGAGCUGAGGGUAGGGGUGAAAGGCUAAUCAAACUGGGAGAUAGCUCGUACUCCCCGAAAUGUCUUUUGGGACAGCCUCAAGCUACAGAGUUUACCGGAGGUAGAGCUACUGAUAGGAUGCGAGGGCUUCACCGCCUAUCAAAUCCUGACAAACUCCGAAUGCCGGUAAAUGAUGCUUGGGAGUGAGUUGCCGGGUGCUAAUGUCCGGUAGCGAAAGGGAAAGAGCCCAGACCAACGGCUAAGGCCCCUAAAGUGUGUUAAGUUGAAAGAACGAGGUGCGGUUGCUGAGACAGCUAGGAUGUUAGCUUGGAAGCAGCUAAUCAUUUAAAGAGUGCGUAACAGCUCACUAGUCGAGCGACUGUGCAUGGAUAAUAAUCGGGCAUCAAACACACUGCCGAAGCCAUGGACUUCAAUGAAGUGGUAGGGGAGCAUUCCAGCAGGCGUAGAAGGAUAACCUGUGAGGGUAUCUGGAGCGACUGGAAAAGAAGAUGUAGGCAUAAGUAACGACAAUGCGGGAUAGAAACCCGCACACCGAAAGCCCAAGGGUUCCUGAUCAAUGCUAAACAGAUCAGGGUUAGUCAGGGCCUAAGGGGAAUCCGA